UACGAAGGGUGCAAGCGUUAUCCGGAUUCAUUGGGUUUAAAGGGUGCGUAGGUGGGGCGAUAAGUCAGUGGUGAAAUCCUGCGGCUUAACCGUAGAAUUGCCAUUGAUACUGUCGUUCUUGAGUACGCUUGACGUGGGCGGAAUGUGCCGUGUAGCGGUGAAAUGCUUAGAUAUGGCACAGAACACCGAUAGUGAAGACAGCUCACGAAGGCGAAACUGACACUGAGACGCGAAAGCGUGGGGAGCGAACAGG
rnacentral:rRNA from 1 species